rnacentral:rRNA from 1 species
CCUACGGGAGGCAGCAGUGGGGAAUAUUGCACAAUGGGGGAAACCCUGAUGCAGCAACGCCGCGUGAGUGAAGAAGUAUUUCGGUUUGUAAAGCUCUAUCAGCAGGGACGAAGAAAGACGGUACCUGACUAAGAAGCCCCGGCUAACUACGUGCCAGCAGCCGCGGUAAUACGUAGGGGGCAAGCGUUAUCCGGAUUUACUGGGUAUAAAGGGAGCGUAGACGGCUGAGCAAGUCUGUAGUGAAAGCCCGGGGCUGAACCGCGGAACUGCUUUGGAAACUGUAUAGCUUGAGUACUGGAGAGGCAGGCGGAAUUCCUAGUGUAGCGGUGAAAUGCGUAGAUAUUAGGAGGAACACCAGUGGCGAAGGCGGCCAGCUGGACAGAAACUGACGUUGAGGCUCGAAAGCGUGGGGAGCAAACAGGAUUAGAUACCCCAGUAGUC